GCACUCGUAGCUCAGUCGGUAGAGCAAGUGACUCUUAAUCACUGGGUCCACGGUUCGAGUCCGUGCGGGUGUACCA
rnacentral:tRNA from 1 species